AACGCGAAGAACCUUACCAAGGUUUGACAUGGCCGGAAAACUCGCAGAGAUGCGGGGUCCUUCGGGGCCGGUCACAGGUGGUGCAUGGCUGUCGUCAGCUCGUGUCGUGAGAUGUUGGGUUAAGUCCCGCAACGAGCGCAACCCUCGUCCCAUGUUGCCAGCGGGUUAUGCCGGGGACUCAUGGGAGACUGCCGGGGUCAACUCGGAGGAAGGUGGGGAUGACGUCAAGUCAUCAUGCCCCUUAUGUCUUGGGCUGCAAACAUGCUACAAUGGCCGGUACAGAGCGCUGCGAGCCCGUGAGGGUGAGCGAAUCGCGGAAAGCCGGUCUCAGUUCGGAUCGGGGUCUGCAACUCGGCCCCGUGAAGCCGGAGUCGCUAGUAAUCGCGGAUCAGCAACGCCGCGGUGAAUACGUUCCCGGGCCUUGUA
rnacentral:rRNA from 1 species